rnacentral:rRNA from 1 species
GAUGAACGCUGGCGGCGUGCCUAAUACAUGCAAGUCGAGCGAACAGACCAGGAGCUUGCUCCUCUGACGUUAGCGGCUGACGGGUGAGUAACACGUGCAUAACCUACCUCUAAGACUGGGAUCACUUCGGGAAACCGCAGCUAAUACCAGAUCAUAUAUUGAACCGCAUGGUUCAAUAGUGAAAGACGCUUUUGGCGACACUUAUAGAUGGAUCCGCGCCGAAUUAGCUAGUUGGUAAGGUAACGGCUUACCAAGGCAACGAUGCGUAGCCGACCUGAGAGGGGGAUCGGCCACACUGGAACUGAGACACGGUCCAGACUCCUACGGGAGGCAGCAGUAGGGAAUCUUCCGCAAUGGGCGAAAGCUUGACGGAGCAACGCCGCGUGAGUGAUGAAGGUCUUCGGAUCGUAAAACUCUGUUAGUAGGGAAGAACAAAUGUGUAAGUAACUAUGCACGUCUUGACGGUACCUAAUCAGAAAGCCACGGCUAACUACGUG